AAGAGUAUAAUUUAAUUGGUAAAAUAGGAAGCUUCAACCUUUUAUAUCUCAGUUCAAUUCUGAGUGCUCUUG
rnacentral:tRNA from 1 species